UAGAGUUUGAUCAUGGCUCAGAUUGAACGCUGGCGGCAGGCCUAACACAUGCAAGUCGAGCGGCAGCGGGAAAGUAGCUUGCUACUUUUGCCGGCGAGCGGCGGACGGGUGAGUAAUGCCUGGGGAUCUGCCCAGUCGAGGGGGAUAACAGUUGGAAACGACUGCUAAUACCGCAUACGCCCUACGGGGGAAAGGAGGGGACCUUCGGGCCUUUCGCGAUUGGAUGAACCCAGGUGGGAUUAGCUAGUUGGUGGGGUAAUGGCUCACCAAGGCGACGAUCCCUAGCUGGUCUGAGAGGAUGAUCAGCCACACUGGAACUGAGACACGGUCCAGACUCCUACGGGAGGCAGCAGUGGGGAAUAUUGCACAAUGGGGGAAACCCUGAUGCAGCCAUGCCGCGUGUGUGAAGAAGGCCUUCGGGUUGUAAAGCACUUUCAGCGAGGAGGAAAGGUUG
rnacentral:rRNA from 1 species